rnacentral:rRNA from 1 species
AUUGAACGCUGGCGGCAUGCCUUACACAUGCAAGUCGAACGGCAGCACGGGAGCAAUCCUGGUGGCGAGUGGCGAACGGGUGAGUAAUAUAUCGGAACGUGCCCGGUCGUGGGGGAUAACGUAGCGAAAGCUACGCUAAUACCGCAUACGAUCUAUGGAUGAAAGCGGGGGAUCGCAAGACCUCGCGCGAUUGGAGCGGCCGAUAUCAGAUUAGGUAGUUGGUGAGGUAAAGGCUCACCAAGCCGACGAUCUGUAGCUGGUCUGAGAGGACGACCAGCCACACUGGGACUGAGACACGGCCCAGACUCCUACGGGAGGCAGCAGUGGGGAAUUUUGGACAAUGGGCGCAAGCCUGAUCCAGCAAUGCCGCGUGCAGGAUGAAGGCCUUCGGGUUGUAAACUGCUUUGUACGGAACGAAACGGUGAGCUCUAAUACAGUUUGCUAAUGACGGUACCGUAAGAAUAAGCACCGGCUAACUACGUG